CUGAAUUGAAAAUACCAUAUUGUACUCAUACAGAAUCAGUAUGGUAUCAUUGUCUGUCUGUUCACUGAUUGCUGAAACUAAGAGCUACUUUGAUCUGUGUAGAUCUAAAGUCUCCAAACUCAAGCGCUGAUGUUUCUUCACCCCUGUGUGUGUGAUAUCUGAUUUCCUACAUGCUGGCGGAGCCGCAGUUUGUGCUCACAGAUGGUGACGGUGUGGAGAGACGGUGGUGUUUCCUCAGAGGAACUAGCAGAGUCACAAAGGGCACGAGUCCAUCUCACCACCUUGACUUGCUGACUGAUGCUCGUCUGCACUGCACAGAGGAAAUCAACUGACCGAGAUGGGCAGGAUAUCACUAUUAGACUGUCUAACCUGCCAGGGCAGCAUUGAAUGACCACCACACAUGAGCAUGUUCCUGCAACAUUCAGCAGCUUUGCUUUUGUGUCAACUGUCAAACAGCUGGAGAGGAAACUACACCAGUGUACUGGGAUGUUUCACCAACACGUGCCAGAUCCUGUUCCUUCAUGGUUUCAUCACCAGAGACAGCCUUUACCAGCCACACUCUAACUGCAAUUAAGAAAACAAACCGUAAAAAUUGUCGUUUUUCUCUUUUAUAAUUAAUGAUAAUUCAAUGAAGAUACUCUGCUGCUUCCUUUUGUUUCGUCUCACAUUGCUUUAAGUUUUUCAGUGUCCAGUUAUUUUUUACUGCUGUUUGAAUUCUC
ensembl:lncRNA